rnacentral:rRNA from 1 species
CCUACGGGUGGCAGCAGUGAGGAAUAUUGGUCAAUGGACGGAAGUCUGAACGAGCCAUGCCGCGUGCAGGAAUGCGGCUCUAUGAGUUGUAAAGUGCUUUUGUCCAAGGCUAAACCUGAAUGCGAGUAUUUUUCUGAAUGUACUGUCCUAUUAAGGAUCGGCUAACUCCGUGCCAGCAGCCGCGGUAAUACGGAGGAACCAAGCGUUCUCCGGAUUGAUUGGGUUUAAAGGGUGCGUAGGCGGGUUGAUAAGUUAGUGGUGAAAUGUACGGGCUUAACUUGGGAACUGCAUUUAAUACUGUUGAUCUAGAGAGUAGGUGCGGUAGGCGGAAUGUAUGGUGUAGCGGUGAAAUGCUUAGAGAUCAUACAGAACACCGAUUGCGAAGGCAGCUUACCAAUCUAUAUCUGACGUUGAGGCACGAAAGCGUGGGGAGCAAACAGGAUUAGAUACCCCAGUAGUC